rnacentral:tRNA from 1 species
GCGGACGUGGCGGAACGGCAGACGCUGCGGUCUUAAACACCGCUGGGACAACCCGUGCGGGUUCGAAUCCCGCCGUCCGCA